rnacentral:rRNA from 1 species
AGUGAGAUGAGGCUACCCGGAGUGCUACAAAGUAGCUGUGGCAGGUGAGUAGGAAUCCCUGCUAAGAAGGAGAGGGCAAGGCUGGUGCCAGCCGCCGCGGUAAAACCAGCUCUUCAAGUGGUCGGGACUUUUAUUGGGCUUAAAGUGUUCGUAGCCUGUUUAGUAAGUUCUUGGUUAAAUCGGAUAACUUAAUUAUCUGUCUGCUAAGAAUACUACUAUACUAGGGGGCGGGAGAGGUCUGAGGUACUUCAGGGGUAGCGGUGAAAUGCUAUAAUCCUUGGGGGACCACCAGUGGCGAAGGCGUCAGACUGGAACGCGCCCGACGGUGAGGGACGAAAGCCAGGGGAGCGAACCGGAUUAGAUACCCGGGUAGUCCUGGCUGUAAACGAUGCGUGCUAGGUGUUGGUAUGGCUAAGAGCCGUAUCAGUGCCGUAGGGAAACCGUUAAGCGCGCCGCCUG